UACGAAGGGGGCUAGCGUUGUUCGGAAUUACUGGGCGUAAAGCGUGCGCAGGCGGCUUCCCAAGUCAGUGGUGAAAGCCCGGAGCUCAACUCCGGAACUGCAUUCGAUACUGCCGUGCUUGAGGACUGGAGAGGAGACUGGGAAUUUACGGUGUAGCGGUGAAAUGCGUAGAUAUCGUAAGGAAGACCAGUGGCGAAGGCGGGUCUCUGGACAGUUCCUGACGCUGAGGCACGAAGGUCAGGGGAGCAAACGGG
rnacentral:rRNA from 1 species